AGGGGGAGCACUGGCCAACUAGAACAGAACAGAUAUGUCACAGUGGAGAUUGCAGCGCUAAUGGUGCUAACGGUGUAAAUUUAGCUAACGGUGGAGAAGUGCUAACAGCGCUAACAGCGUUCUGAUGAGGAAACUGUUUGUGUUUCAGUCUGAAGUACAACCAGCCGAGCAUCGUGAAUGGCCGGACGGACGUGGUGGCGGUGACGCCCUGGCUGGCGCCCAUCGUGUGGGAGGGCACCUUUAACCCCGUCCUGCUCGACAGCAUCUACAGGCA